UACGGAGGAUGCAAGCGUUAUCCGGAAUGAUUGGGCGUAAAGCGUCCGCAGGUGGUUGGGUGAGUCUAUUGUCAAAGCAUCAUGCUUAACAUGAUAAAGGCAGUAGAAACUACACGACUUGAGUGCGUUCGGGGCAGAUGGAAUUCCUGGUGUAGCGGUGAAAUGCGUAGAGAUCAGGAAGAACACCGGUGGCGAAAGCGCUCUGCUAGGCCGCAACUGACACUGAGGGACGAAAGCUAGGGGAGCGAAUGGG
rnacentral:rRNA from 1 species